UGCCUACCUUCCAUGACAUCACAAAGACUCACGCAAGGGCAGCUGGGAAAAAACAAAACAAAACAGGGCAUGAAAACAUAGCCACAUAUUCCAGAGUUGAUCUUCAGCCAUAUUUGUAAUGAAGCUCCAGAAGGAGAAAGAGGUAAAAAGGGAAGAAAAACUCAGUCUAAAAGCUCUUCCGAAAGAGGCUGGACUUUCUUCUGGAAAACGAGAGAAUGGAACUUGACGGUCUCUGAGGUCCUUUCCAUCACUCCUCAGCCUCGUGGUCUGAACCAAAAAUAAGUCCCUUUCAACUCCAACAUUCUGUGACUGUACAAGCUAUUUUACGGUGAGAGGAACAAAGCGGAAACUUUCUGGGAGUCCCUGGAAUCCACACUGAUUAGGCUAUCCUCCCUUUCUCUACAUCCACUCUUUUUAUUCGUUGGCUGACCGCAAUCUCAGAGUUAAACUGAGUUAACAGAAGACAGUGGCAACACCAAGGCCUGCUCCCGGCUGUAAAAGAUGCAUUAGUCUCAGUAAUGGCCCAUCACCCAGACCACUUCCUCCAUCUACACAUUUAUGGGACUGUGAAUCAAGGGUUACCCAGGCAGACAGAAAGACCAGUGCCUGCUGGAGGGCGAGUAUGUCAAGAAGGGACCAGGCAACUCUGUGAAAUGACAGCUCUGGUAAUUAACUCAAUGUGUUCUGAGUCCCAACCAAGAAGAGAUCUCUGCAGACCAGGCACCCAGAGUUUACAGGAGAAAAAUGCCCUUAUCCACUUUCUUUUGCCCAGGUCAUGGUGUGGCAUAAGAGAGGUACAUACUCCAUUGUUCACUGGCCAGUAAUAAUGCAGGAAGGGUUUUGAUUUCACCCAUCUGGCCAAAAUGGAACAUUAUUCAGGGAAGAGAUAUUGUUAAAUAUAUAUUCUAAUAGACAAACUUCAUUUUUCA